rnacentral:misc_RNA from 1 species
GAUGAAGAACGCAGCGAAAUGCGAUAAGUAAUGCGAAUUGCAGAAUUCAGUGAGUCAUCGAAUCUUUGAACGCACAUUGCGCCCUGUGGUAUUCCGCAGGGCAUGCCUGUUCGAGCGUCAUUUCAACCCUCAAGCCUCGCUUGGUGUUGGGCCCUGCCCGCUGCGGCCGGCCCUAAAGAUAGUGGCGGCGCCGCCUGGCCCUCAGCGUAGUACAGCUCUCGCUCCAGGGUCCGGCGGCAGCCUGCCAGAACCCCCCAACUCUGUGGUUGACCUCGGAUCAGGUAGGGAUACCCGCUGAACUUAAGCAUAUCAAUAAGCGGAGGA